GUACCGUACAAACGUUAUUCGGAAUCACUGGGCUUAAAGGGUGCGUAGGCGGUGCGGUCAGUUGGGUGUGAAAUCCCUCGGCUCAACCGAGGAACUGCGCCCAAUACUGCCGCACUCGAGGGAGACAGAGGUAAGCGGAACUGAUGGUGGAGCGGUGAAAUGCGUUGAUAUCAUCAGGAACACCAGUAGCGAAGGCGGCUUACUGGGUCUCUUCUGACGCUGAGGCACGAAAGCUAGGGGUAGCGAACGGGAUUAGAUACCCCGGUAGUCCUAGCUGUAAACGAUGAGCACUUGGUCGGAGACUCCUCCAUAGGUUUCCGGUCGUAGCGAAAGUGUUAAGUGCUCCGCCUGGGGAGUAUGGUCGCAAGGCUG
rnacentral:rRNA from 1 species